GAUGAACGCUGGCUGCAGGCUUAACACAUGCAAGUCGCGGGGCAGCAUGGGGGUGGCUUGCAAUCCCCGAUGGCGGCCGGCGCACGGGUGAGUAACGCGUAUCCAACCUGCCCUUCACCACGGGAUAACCCGGCGAAAGUCGGACACAUACCGUAUGUUGUACAUUGACGGCACACGAUUUUGCCGGAAGGGUUGGCGGGGAGGGAGGGGGAGGUGUCAGAUUGGUUGGAGGGCGGGGUGACGGCGCCCCGUGGCGACGAUCGGUGGGGGGUCUGAGAGGAGGAUCAGCCACCCUGGGACUGAGACACGGCCCCGCCUCCUACGGGAGGCAGCAGUGGGGAAUUUUGGACAAUGGGCGGAAGCUUGAUCCAGCCAUGCCGCGUGGAGGAUGAAGGCCUUCGGGUUGUAGACUGCUUUUGUUCGGAACGAAAAGACUUGUUUCAAUACAGGAGGUUCAUGACGGUACCGUAAGAAUAAGCACCGGCUAACUCCGUG
rnacentral:rRNA from 1 species